UAAGGAAUAUUGGUCAAUGGGCGCAAGCCUGAACCAGCCAUGCCGCGUGCAGGAAGACGGCCCUACGGGUUGUAAACUGCUUUUGUACCGGAAUAAACCUUGAUUCGUGAAUCAAGCUGAAUGUACGGUAAGAAUAAGGAUCGGCUAACUCCGUGCCAGCAGCCGCGGUAAUACGGAGGAUCCAAGCGUUAUCCGGAUUUAUUGGGUUUAAAGGGUGCGUAGGCGGUUCUUUAAGUCAGGGGUGAAAGACGGUAGCUUAACUAUCGCAGUGCCUUUGAUACUGAAGAACUUGAAUACACUUGAGGUAGGCGGAAUGUGACAAGUAGCGGUGAAAUGCAUAGAUAUGUCACAGAACACCAAUUGCGAAGGCAGCUUACUAAAGUGUCAUUGACGCUGAGGCACGAAAGCGUGGGGAUCAAACAG
rnacentral:rRNA from 1 species